rnacentral:lncRNA from 1 species
AAGUUCAUGCAUGGAUGGAAAUUUCCUGAUGAAGACUUCAUUUCAGCCCUGGCACAUUUCUACAGCAAAUGGUGGACCCAACAUAAACAGCUCCCAGUUUUUCAUUUGUGCUGCUAAGACUGGCUGGUUGGGUGGUAAGCAUACACCUUUCAUCAGAGUGAAUGGCAACACAAAUAUUGCCAAAGUUUUGUGCAUAGGAAUAGCAAGAUUAGCAAGAAGUUCACCACUGCUAGCUGCAGUAACUCUCC